rnacentral:rRNA from 1 species
GACGAACGCUGGCGGCGUGCCUAAUACAUGCAAGUAGGACGCAGUUGCGAACGGGUGAGUAACGCGUAGGUAACUACCUAUUAGAGGGGGAUAACUAUUGGAAACGAUAGCUAAUACCGCAUACUAGUAGAUGGACCUGCGUUGUAUUAGCUAGUAGGUAGGUUCAUGGCCUACCUAGGCAACGAUACAUAGCCGGCCAGGUGGGGUGAUCGGCCAAACUGGGACUGGGACACGGGCCAGAGGCCUACCGGAGGCAGCAGUAGGGAAUCUGCGGCAAAGGGGGGAACCCUGACCGGGCAACGCCGCGUGAGUGAAGAAAGUUUUCGGAGCGGAAAGCUCUGUUGUUAAGGAAGCGGUACUUAACCAGAAAGGGACGGCUAACUACGUGCCAGCCGCCGCGGUAAUUC